AACGAACGCUGGCGGCAGGCUUAACACAUGCAAGUCGAGCGCCCCGCAAGGGGAGCGGCAGACGGGUGAGUAACGCGUGGGAAUCUACCCAUCUCUACGGAAUAACGCAUGGAAACGUGUGCUAAUACCGUAUACGUCCUUCGGGAGAAAGAUUUAUCGGAGAUGGAUGAGCGCGCGUUGGAUUAGCUAGUUGGUGGGGUAAAGGCCUACCAAGGCGACGAUCCAUAGCUGGUCUGAGAGGAUGAUCAGCCACACUGGGACUGAGACACGGCCCAGACUCCUACGGGGGGCAGCAGUGGGGAAUAUUGGACAAUGGGCGCAAGCCUGAUCCAGCCAUGCCGCGUGAGUGAUGAAGGCCCUAGGGUUGUAAAACUCUUUCACCGGUGAAGAUAAUGACGGUAACCGGAGAAGAAGCCCCGGCUAACUUCGUGCCAGCCGCCGCGGUAAGAC
rnacentral:rRNA from 1 species